UCUUACGGCCAUACCACCCUGAACACGCCUGAUCUCGUCUGAUCUUGGAAGCUAAGCAGGGUCGGGCCUGGUUAGUACUUGGAUGGGAGACCACCUGAAAAUACUGGGUGCUGUAGGCU
ensembl:rRNA 5S_rRNA 5S ribosomal RNA